rnacentral:rRNA from 1 species
GCAGUGGGGAAUAUUGGACAAUGGGCGCAAGCCUGAUCCAGCCAUGCCGCGUGAGUGAUGAAGGUCUUAGGAUUGUAAAGCUCUUUCACCGGGGACGAUAAUGACGGUACCCGGAGAAGAAGCCCCGGCUAACUUCGUGCCAGCAGCCGCGGUAAUACGAAGGGGGCUAGCGUUGUUCGGAAUUACUGGGCGUAAAGCGCACGUAGGCGGACAUUUAAGUCAGGGGUGAAAUCCCGGGGCUCAACCCCGGAACUGCCUUUGAUACUGGGUGUCUUGAGUGUGGUAGAGGUGAGUGGAAUUGCGAGUGUAGAGGUGAAAUUCGUAGAUAUUCGCAGGAACACCAGUGGCGAAGGCGGCUCACUGGACCACAACUGACGCUGAGGUGCGAAAGCGUGGGGAGCAAACAGGAUUAGA